rnacentral:lncRNA from 1 species
UAAUAAAUUUAUUAAUUUAAUAAUUUAAGGUGUUUAAGCACUUCUAGUGGUAUAUCCAUAAAUUUGUCUUGUGGGGCUGGAAAAAAACAAUCUUUUUUUUUCCUUUUUUGAGAGAAAUGCCAUUGAUUGCAUUUAUAAUUCAGGCCUAAAGGUCGUCAGUUACAAGAACCAAUACGUAUACAAAUAAUCACAUAGGAUUAAUACAAAUAGGGAAGCACAGUAAACCACAAGGACUUAAUCUAAAUACGGAGGAGUCCACUAGCAACAAGAAGCACGCAAUGUGUACCUCCACACAUAGUCACACAUGGCAUAAGAAAUUCCAGCAAAAAAGCUGUAAGCUUAGAAAAACCAUACAUAUACCUCAUCACACCAAAUUACAACUACAAUAUUUUAACUCUUACAAGUGAAAAAUACAAAUAGAGACUAGAAACACGCAACAAACUCAUAAGGAGUUGAUGCACUUAUUACAACUCAAAACACUGCAACACAAAAAAAGUAUAAAAUAAAAAAAAAAUCGAUCUACCACCACGUCGUCACCAAGACAGCCAAGGCGGAUGGGUUUGAGGGGAUGGGCAAGGAGCAGAAGAGGAGAGGGAUGGAGGUCACCGACUCCCAAAAGGGGCGGCAGCGAGAACUUCUAUCUCUUAGGGUAUCAAAAAUAUGAAUUAUAAAAAAAAUAUAUCAUACUUCUUAUCUCAACAUCUUUCACGCAUUUUAUCUAGCAUCUUACUCACACCUUAAUGAAAUUAUCAAUGAAGGAAUGAACUAAGACAAUA